UAAAGCUGUUGCGGUGAAAAAGCUCGUAGUUGAAUUUCGGGAUCAAUUUAGCGGUCGUGCCUCGGUAUGAACUGGUACAAUUGGUUUCUCCCUUCUGACGAAGCAUGAUGUCAUUAAUUUGGUGUCGUGGGGAAUCAGGACUGUUACUUUGAAAAAAUUAGAGUGUUUUAAGCAAGCAUUAGCUUGAAUACAUUAGCAUGGAAUAAUGAAAUAGGACGUUUGAUCCUAUUUCGUUGGUUUCUAGGAUCGACGUAAUGAUUAAUAGGG
rnacentral:rRNA from 1 species